AGAGUUUGAUCAUGGCUCAGGAUGAACGCGGGCGGCGCGCCUAACACAUGCAAGUCGAACGGUUAAAGCACCUUUCGGGUGUGUAUAAAGUGGCGAACGGCUGAGUAACACGUGGGCAACCUGCCCCUCGCACCGGGACAGCCUCGGGAAACCGUGGUUAAUACCGGAUACGCCCCCUUGAGGACAUCCUCUCGGGGGGAAAGCCCCGACGGCGAGGGAUGGGCCCGCGGCCUGUUAGCUUGUUGGUGGGGUAACGGCCCACCAAGGCGAUUAUGGGUAGCUGGGUUGAGAGACCGACCAGCCAGAUUGGGACUGAGACACGGCCCAGACUCCUACGGGAGGCAGCAGUGGGGAAUCUUGCACAAUGGGCGAAAGCCUGAUGCAGCGACGCCGCGUGCGGGAUGAAGGCCUUCGGGUUGUAAACCGCUUUCAGCAGGGACGAGGCCGCAAGGUGACGGUACCUGCAGAAGAAGCCCCGGCUAACUACGUGCCAGCAGCCGCGGUAAUACGUAGGGGGCGAGCGUUAUCCGGAUUCAUUGGGCGUAAAGCGCGCGUAGGCGGCCUGUUAGGUCGGGAGUUAAAUCCGGGGGCUCAACCCCCGCCCGCUCCCGAUACCGGCAGGCUUGAGUCUGGUAGGGGAAGGCGGAAUUCCCAGUGUAGCGGUGGAAUGCGCAGAUAUUGGGAAGAACACCGGUGGCGAAGGCGGCCUUCUGGGCCACGACUGACGCUGAGGCGCGAAAGCUAGGGGAGCGAACAGGAUUAGAUACCCUGGUAGUCCUAGCCGUAAACGAUGGACACUAGGUGUGGGGGGAUGUGCCCUCCGUGCCGCAGCUAACGCAUUAAGUGUCCCGCCUGGGGAGUAC
rnacentral:rRNA from 1 species